ensembl:lncRNA
GUAACCUCGUAAAUAAUCUGAUGGGAAUAUAUUAGACGUUAAGUUAAAUCAAAUAACAUUAUAUUUAUAGUUAUAUUUCUAAGUAACAUAAAUAGAUAUGAAGACAAAGGACAACCAUUUAAUGGAAUAAAUGAACCUCAAAUAUGUCAAUUUUGAUGCAUAUUCUUAGCUGAACAACUUAAUCAUUACACACCACAUUACGGAUAUCUAAAUACCUGCUGGGAGAUGGAAAUGGCCUCUGCAUCCAGCACGCUGAACACUCGAGCAGUCAGACCAUCUCCUCGAUCUUUGGCCAGCCAGCACUUGCAAGCAAAGAUAUAUUUGACCCCUUUGGUUGGCACAGCAACAGACAGCUCAUCAACCAGCCAGCAGCUCUCAGGAGUGGCCCCGUCAUGACCUAGCUGCAGGCACCACGGGCAACAAUCACUACCAGAAACGUGGUGUCCCCCUGGUCCCCGUAAAUGGUGAGGAAGACGUUGGCGUCGGUGCCGGCUCCGUACACGUCGCCCGUCGUCACCGACACUGUGUAUGUGUG